AAAGGAGACAUCCAAAGGGAUCGCAUUGAUCCUGAACCUAAAUUUCUUCUCCAUCGUUUUUUCUGGGAUCAUGCUAUCCCUUUGGAUUCCUCCUU
rfam:Jatropha curcas cultivar GZQX0401 scaffold11_83, whole genome shotgun sequence.